AAGGAUCAUUACUGACUGUCUUCUAAAAGUCACUUUCCUACCCCUUUGGUCUAUGUCUCCUGUCAGUAGGGGAUAGCCAAAAUUUGUAUUUUCCAAACUCACUACAUCUUUGAUUUUGUCUAAUUCUGAUCAGCAAAGUUAGCGAUAACAAAAAUAAAAACUUUCAACAAUGGAUCUCUUGGUUCUG
rnacentral:misc_RNA from 1 species